rnacentral:rRNA from 1 species
GGGGGCGAGCGCAAGCGGCUCCCGSUGAGGGAUGGGCCUGCGGCUGAUUAGCUAGUUGGUGGGGUAGCGGCCUACCAAGGCGACGAUCAGUAGCCGACCUGAGAGGGUGACCGGCCACACUGGGACUGAGACACGGCCCAGACUCCUACGGGAGGCAGCAGUGGGGAAUAUUGCGCAAUGGGCGAAAGCCUGACGCAGCGACGCCGCGUGGGUGAUGAAGGCCUUCGGGUCGUAAAACCCUGUCGGGUGGAACGAAUCUCCGCCUUGCUAAUACCAAGGUGGCUUGACGGUGCCACCGAAGGAAGCCCCGGCUAACUACGUGCCAGCAGCCGCGGUAAUACGUAGGGGGCGAGCGUUGUUCGGAUUUACUGGGCGUAAAGGGCGCGUAGGUGGUUCGAUGAGUCGGAGGUGAAAUCCCUCGGCUUAACCGAGGACCCGCGUCCGAUACUGUCGAACUUGAGUGCAGGAGAGGAGAGCGGAAUUCCCAGUGUAGCGGUGAAAUGCGUAGAUAUUGGGAGGAACACCGGUGGCGACGGGCGGU